AACGAACGCUGGCGGCAGGCUUAACACAUGCAAGUCGAACGCCCCGCAAGGGGAGUGGCAGACGGGUGAGUAACGCGUGGGAAUCUACCCAUCUCUACGGAACAACUCCGGGAAACUGGAGCUAAUACCGUAUACGCCCUACGGGGGAAAGGUUUAUCGGGGAUGGAUGAGCCCGCGUUGGAUUAGCUAGUUGGUGGGGUAGAGGCCUACCAAGGCGACGAUCCAUAGCUGGUCUGAGAGGAUGAUCAGCCACAUUGGGACUGAGACACGGCCCAAACUCCUACGGGAGGCAGCAGUGGGGAAUAUUGGACAAUGGGCGCAAGCCUGAUCCAGCCAUGCCGCGUGAGUGAUGAAGGUCUUAGGAUUGUAAAGCUCUUUCACCGAUGAAGAUAAUGACGGUAGUCGGAGAAGAAGCCCCGGCUAACUUCGUGCCAGCCGCCGCCGUAACAC
rnacentral:rRNA from 1 species